rnacentral:rRNA from 1 species
CCUACGGGAGGCAGCAGUGGGGAAUAUUGGACAAUGGGCGAAAGCCUGAUCCAGCCAUGCCGCGUGUGUGAAGAAGGCCUUCAGGUUGUAAAGCACUUUCAGUGGGGAAGAAAGCCUUGGGGCUAAUACCCUCGAGGAAGGACAUCACCCACAGAAGAAGCACCGGCUAACUCCGUGCCAGCAGCCGCGGUAAUACGGAGGGUGCGAGCGUUAAUCGGAAUUACUGGGCGUAAAGCGCGCGUAGGCGGUCUGAUAAGCCGGUUGUGAAAGCCCCGGGCUCAACCUGGGAACGGCAUCCGGAACUGUCAGGCUAGAGUGCAGGAGAGGAAGGUAGAAUUCCCGGUGUAGCGGUGAAAUGCGUAGAGAUCGGGAGGAAUACCAGUGGCGAAGGCGGCCUUCUGGACUGACACUGACGCUGAGGUGCGAAAGCGUGGGUAGCAAACAGGACUAGAUACCCCGGUAGUC